rnacentral:lncRNA from 1 species
AAGAAAUAGGUGUUGUACCCGGUAUCACGUCGAUACAGAAUUCUAUCUCUCUAUUGGGCGGUAAUCCAGGUAGUUCUUCUGGAAACACAUCAAGAAACUCGCAAACCACCGGAACGUCUUCGACGCAACCUUUCCUUGCAGAGGUAUCCCUAACCAAAGCCAAAUAUCCCUGACAUCCACGGCGAAGCAUCCGCCUAGC